rnacentral:rRNA from 1 species
AGGGUUCGAUUCUGGCUCAGGAUGAACGCUAGCGGCAGGCCUAACACAUGCAAGUCGCGGGGCAGCACGGGUAGCAAUACCUGGUGGCGACCGGCGCACGGGUGCGUAACGCGUAUGCAACCUGCCCCCAUCAGGGGAAUAGCCCGCCGAAAGGCGGAUUAAUGCCCCAUAGGCCCAGGGCGCCGCAUGGCGCUAUGGGUAAAGCUCCGGCGGAUGGGGAUGGGCAUGCGUGCCAUUAGCUAGUUGGGGCGGUAACGGCGCACCAAGGCGACGAUGGCUAGGGGGUCUGAGAGGAUGGUCCCCCACACUGGUACUGAGACACGGACCAGACUCCUACGGGAGGCAGCAGUGAGGAAUAUUGGUCAAUGGGCGGAAGCCUGAACCAGCCAUGCCGCCGUGCAGGAUGACGGCCCUACGGGUUGUAAACUGCUUUUCCCCGGGAAGAAUAAGCCCCUCAUGAGGGGUGAUGCCGGUACCGGGGGAAUAAGGAUCGGCUAACUCCGUGCCAGCAGCAGC